AGUCGUAGUAUAAUGGAUAGAACGCUAGACUCCGACUCUGGAAAUGCGGGUUCGAUUCCCGCCGAUUGC
rnacentral:tRNA from 1 species